rnacentral:rRNA from 1 species
GACGAACGCUGGCGGCGUGCUUAACACAUGCAAGUCGAACGGAAAGGCCCUGCUUUUGUGGGGUGCUCGAGUGGCGAACGGGUGAGUAACACGUGAGUAACCUGCCCUUGACUUUGGGAUAACUUCAGGAAACUGGGGCUAAUACCGGAUAGGAGCUCCUGCUGCAUGGUGGGGGUUGGAAAGUUUCGGCGGUUGGGGAUGGACUCGCGGCUUAUCAGCUUGUUGGUGGGGUAGUGGCUUACCAAGGCUUUGACGGGUAGCCGGCCUGAGAGGGUGACCGGCCACAUUGGGACUGAGAUACGGCCCAGACUCCUACGGGAGGCAGCAGUGGGGAAUAUUGCACAAUGGGCGGAAGCCUGAUGCAGCAACGCAGCGUGCGGGAUGACGGCCUUCGGGUUGUAAACCGCUUUCGCCUGUGACGAAGCGUGAGUGACGGUAAUGGGUAAAGAAGCACCGGCUAACUACGUG